AUGGACGUCAUGGCCGAUGCCUCCACGGUCGACGACGAGGCGGGCGAAGCGCCGCGGCUCGAGCUCCGAGGCAUCGACGGCUCGGGCCGUGGGUACGCGUCCGACGCGCCGAUGCAGCAGGUGUUCAUGGACGUUAUGUCCGCCAACGGAUGCGCGGGGUUCGCGGGCCUCCUCGCCGCGACGGCGAACGCGGACGAGAUCUUCCAGCAGCGCCUCCUCGCCGAACGCGGCCGCGGGCUCACAGUCUUCUGCCCCGACGACCUCGCGGUGGCGACGUUCAAGCCCAAGUUCGACAGCCUGAGCGCCGACGACCAGCUCGCCGUCCUGCUUCACCACGGCGCGGGGGCGCGCUACCGGAGGGAGCAGUUCCAGGCGUUCGACUGGGUGCGGGUGGGCUCGCUGGCCACCGACGCGGCCACCAACAAGAGCCACGCCAUCGCCGUCCGCGACGACGGGGACACGGUGCUGGUGUGGCCGUCGUGCGGGAGCGGCGCUGGGGUCAGGGUGACCAAGACGGUGUCCGAAGAAGCCCCCCUCGCCGUGUACGUCGUCGACGCCGUGCUGCUGCCGGGCCACCUGCGACAGAAGCUGGACGGCGGCGACGAGCCGGGUGCUGCGUGCAAGCCGUGCGGCGGCUAUCUCGGCUGGCUGCACUGCUGCAUCCCGGCCUGGGUAACGAUACUGGUGGCCGUCGGGAGCAUGGUUGGCACUGUGAUCGGGUUUCUCAUACCCCAGGAUUGCUGCCGCGGGAUUCACUGA
rnacentral:rRNA from 1 species